UCAGCAAGCCGCGGUAAUACAUAGGGUGCAAGCGUUGUCCGGAAUUAUUGGGCGUAAAGAGCUCGUAGGUCGUUUGUUACGUCGGAUGUGAAAACCUGAGGCUCAACCUCAGGCCUGCAUUCGAUACGGGCAAACUAGAGUUUGGUAGGGGAGACUGGAAUUCCUGGUGUAGCGGUGGAAUGCGCAGAUAUCAGGAGGAACACCAAUGGCGAAGGCAGGUCUCUGGGCCAAUACUGACACUGAGGAGCGAAAGUCUGGGGAGCGAACAGGAUUAGAUACCCUGGUAGUCCAGACCGUAAACGGUGGGCACUAGUUGUGGGAACCUUCCACGGUUUCUGCGACGCAGCUAACGCAUUAAGUGCCCCGCCUGGGGAGUACGAUCGCAAGAUUAAAACUCAAAGGAAUUGACGGG
rnacentral:rRNA from 1 species